rnacentral:rRNA from 1 species
UACAGAGACUGCAAGCGUUAUUCGGAUUCACUGGGCGUAAAGGGUGCGCAGGCGGUUGGGUGUGUCAGAUGUGAAAUCCCGAGGCUUAACCUCGGAACUGCGUCUGAAACUACUCGACUAGAGUAUUGGAGAGGGUAACGGAAUUCACGGUGUAGCAGUGAAAUGCGUAGAUAUCGUGAGGAACACCAGAGGCGAAGGCGGUUACCUGGACAAUUACUGACGCUCAGGCACGAAAGCAUGGGGAGCAAACAGG